rnacentral:tRNA from 1 species
GGUGGCUCAGUGGUAGAGUGCUUGCCUUGCAUGCAUGAAGCCCUAGGUUUGAUCCUCAGCACCA